GGAAUAUUGGUCAAUGGGCGAGAGCCUGAACCAGCCAUGCCGCGUGCAGGAAGACGGCCUUCUGGGUUGUAAACUGCUUUUCUACGGGAAGAAAAAGCUUAUGCGUAAGCAAUUGACGGUACUGUAGGAAUAAGCACCGGCUAACUCCGUGCCAGCAGCCGCGGUAAUACGGAGGGUGCGAGCGUUGUCCGGAUUUAUUGGGUUUAAAGGGUGCGUAGGCGGCUUAUUAAGUCAGUGGUGAAAUCUUUCGGCUUAACCGAGAAACUGCCAUUGAAACUGAUGAGCUUGAGUUUGAGUGAGGUAGGCGGAAUUUAUGGUGUAGCGGUGAAAUGCAUAGAUACCAUAAAGAACACCGAUAGCGUAGGCAGCUUACUGGCUCGCAACUGACGCUGAGGCACGAAAGCAUGGGUAUCGAACAGGAUUAGAUACCCUGGUAGUCCAUGCUGUAAACGAUGAUUACUCGCUGUUGGUCUUUAGGGAUCAGUGGCCAAGCGAAAGCGUUAAGUAAUCCACCUGGGGAGUACGUCCGCAAGGAUGAA
rnacentral:rRNA from 1 species